rnacentral:rRNA from 1 species
UACGUAGGGGGCGAGCGUUGUCCGGAAUCAUUGGGCGUAAAGCGCGUGUAGGCGGCUUGGUAAGUCCGGUGUGAAACCUUGGGGCUCAACCCCAAGCCUGCACUGGAUACUGCCUCGCUUGAGUCCGGGAGGGGAGAGCGGAAUUCCUAGUGUAGCGGUGAAAUGCGCAGAUAUUGGGAGGAACACCAGUGGCGAAGGCGGCUCACUGGACCGGUACUGACGCUGAUGCGCGAAAGCGUGGGGAGCAAACGGG